CAGCGAUCCUGCUUGCUGUAAUGGUCAAACUGGUUCUUCCAGUGCACCAUGUAGGAGCUCCAGCGGUGGAACUCGGCCUUCCACUGGCGCUCCGCCUCGUCCAGCGUGUCUGCGGCCAGGCCGCCCGGCAAGUGGACAGGUAAAACUCUCCGUGUGCCCAGGGGCGCAUGUCACAGCCAAUAAAAUCACCACUGGUCCAAUUGAUCAGCUUUGCAGUUGACGCACCGAACUACUAUGGCACGAAAGAAAAGCGGAAGAUGCUUUCCUGAGGCAGCACAUGCCACUCGUGAUCCACCAGGUCCUGAGCUGGUCGUGUCCGCAGGCAAGCAACCAACUCUGUGUCAUUGCUA